UCAACCCUUUGCUACACGUGGUCUUGAGUUCCUCUUCCAAUAAGACAUCUAGAGUUAUAAGAAAGCAAGCUUGAUCCUGCCACUGACAGACUUAGCACUCAUGGAACCACCACAGGCCAUGUUCACCUGGGCACACACUGGUUUGAUGUUUUGCAACCUCCUUGGUAUAAAAGACUGCAGCCUUCAAAGGCACACUCAAACCUGGCUUUGUGGCAAGGAUCCGCUAUAUCUCUAGAAGAAGAAUACCGGGGCUGGAGAGAUGGCUCAGUGAUUAAGAGCACUGGUUCCUCUUCUAGAAGACCAGGGUUCAAUUCUCAACACCCAUAUGGCAGCUCACAUCUGCCUUCUAACUUCAGUUCCAGGGGAUCCAAUUCCCUCACACAGACAUAUAUGCAGGCAAAAUAUUAAUGCACAUAAAAUAAAAAUAAACAUUAAAAAUUUUAAAAAGA